GACGAACGCUGGCGGCGUGCCUAAUACAUGCAAGUAGAACGCUGAAGAGAGGAGCUUGCUCUUCUUGGAUGAGUUGCGAACGGGUGAGUAACGCGUAGGUAACCUGCCUUGUAGCGGGGGAUAACUAUUGGAAACGAUAGCUAAUACCGCAUAACAAUGGAUGACACAUGUCAUUUAUUUGAAAGGGGCAAUUGCUCCACUACAAGAUGGACCUGCGUUGUAUUAGCUAGUAGGUGAGGUAAUGGCUCACCUAGGCGACGAUACAUAGCCGACCUGAGAGGGUGAUCGGCCACACUGGGACUGAGACACGGCCCAGACUCCUACGGGAGGCAGCAGUAGGGAAUCUUCGGCAAUGGGGGCAACCCUGACCGAGCAACGCCGCGUGAGUGAAGAAGGUUUUCGGAUCGUAAAGCUCUGUUGUAAGUCAAGAACGGGUGUGAGAGUGGAAAGUUCACACUGUGACGGUAGCUUACCAGAAAGGGACGGCUAACUACGUGCCAGCAGCCGCGGUAAUACGUAGGUCCCGAGCGUUGUCCGGAUUUAUUGGGCGUAAAGCGAGCGCAGGCGGUUUGAUAAGUCUGAAGUUAAAGGCUGUGGCUCAACCAUAGUUCGCUUUGGAAACUGUCAAACUUGAGUGCAGAAGGGGAGAGUGGAAUUCCAUGUGUAGCGGUGAAAUGCGUAGAUAUAUGGAGGAACACCGGUGGCGAAAGCGGCUCUCUGGUCUGUAACUGACGCUGAGGCUCGAAAGCGUGGGGAGCGAACAGGAUUAGAUACCCUGGUAGUCCACGCCGUAAACGAUGAGUGCUAGGUGUUGGAUCCUUUCCGGGAUUCAGUGCCGCAGCUAACGCAUUAAGCACUCCGCCUGGGGAGUACGACCGCAAGGUUGAAACUCAAAGGAAUUGACGGGGGCCCGCACAAGCGGUGGAGCAUGUGGUUUAAUUCGAAGCAACGCGAAGAACCUUACCAGGUCUUGACAUCCCGAUGCUAUUUCUAGAGAUAGAAAGUUACUUCGGUACAUCGGUGACAGGUGGUGCAUGGUUGUCGUCAGCUCGUGUCGUGAGAUGUUGGGUUAAGUCCCGCAACGAGCGCAACCCUUAUUGUUAGUUGCCAUCAUUCAGUUGGGCACUCUAGCGAGACUGCCGGUAAUAAACCGGAGGAAGGUGGGGAUGACGUCAAAUCAUCAUGCCCCUUAUGACCUGGGCUACACACGUGCUACAAUGGUUGGUACAACGAGUUGCGAGUCGGUGACGGCGAGCUAAUCUCUUAAAGCCAAUCUCAGUUCGGAUUGUAGGCUGCAACUCGCCUACAUGAAGUCGGAAUCGCUAGUAAUCGCGGAUCAGCACGCCGCGGUGAAUACGUUCCCGGGCCUUGUACACACCGCCCGUCACACCACGAGAGUUUGUAACACCCGAAGUCGGUGAGGUAACCUUUUGGAGCCAGCCGCCUAAGGUGGGACAGAUGAUUGGGGUGAAGUC
rnacentral:rRNA from 1 species